rnacentral:rRNA from 1 species
GGCGGCGUGCCUAACACAUGCAAGUCGAGCGAAUGAAGUUCCUUCGGGAACGGAUUUAGCGGCGGACGGGUGAGUAACACGUGGGCAACCUGCCUCAUAGAGGGGAAUAGCCUUCCGAAAGGGAGAUUAAUACCGCAUAAGAUUGUAGUACCGCAUGGUACAGCAAUUAAAGGAGCAAUCCGCUAUGAGAUGGGCCCGCGGCGCAUUAGCUAGUUGGUGAGGUAACGGCUCACCAAGGCGACGAUGCGUAGCCGACCUGAGAGGGUGAUCGGCCACAUUGGGACUGAGACACGGCCCAGACUCCUACGGGAGGCAGCAGUGGGGAAUAUUGCACAAUGGGGGAAACCCUGAUGCAGCAACGCCGCGUGAGUGAUGACGGCCUUCGGGUUGUAAAGCUCUGUCUUCAGGGACGAUAAUGACGGUACCUGAGGAGGAAGCCACGGCUAACUACGUGCCAGCAGCCGCGGUAAUACGUAGGUGGCGAGCGUUGUCCGGAUUUACUGGGCGUAAAGGGAGCGUAGGCGGAUUUUUAAGUGAGAUGUGAAAUACUCGGGCUUAACCUGAGUGCUGCAUUUCAAACUGGAAGUCUAGAGUGCAGGAGAGGAGAAGGGAAUUCCUAGUGUAGCGGUGAAAUGCGUAGAGAUUAGGAAGAACACCAGUUGCGAAGGCGGCUCUCUGGACUGUAACUGACACUGAGGCACGAAAGCGUGGGGAGCAAACAGGAUUAGAUACCCUGGUAGUCCACGCCGUAAACGAUGAGUACUAGCUGUCGGAGGUUACCCCCUUCGGUGGCGCAGCUAACGCAUUAAGUACUCCGCCUGGGAAGUACGCUCGCAAGAGUGAAACUCAAAGGAAUUGACGGA